CGGCCGCCUGCCGCCGCCGCCCGCCCCGCCCGCCGCCGCCGCGCCCGCGCCGCUCGCAGAAGUAAUGGAGAGUUCUUCGUCGUCGGCUGCUGAACCUAUUCCCGACGCGCUGGCGGGCGCCGCAUUCGACGCGCCCGACGACUUGGCGCCAGCGGGCCCGGUGAGCGCGCGCUUCCCGCGCGACGCGGCCGAGCGCGAGGCGGCGCUGCGCCAGCGCAAGGAGCGCCUGCUGGCCGCCGCGCGCCACAGGUACCUGUCGGCGCGCGCGCCGCGGCCCAGCUGAGAGGCGCGCGGCGCCGCCGCCGCCACGCGGCAGCACUUCAAGCGCCUGCUGCUCACGCACACGCGCAAGAACCGCUGAGCGGCGCCCCACAC